GUGAAGGUAUUAAGGUUGAUCCCAAUAGGAUUGAGGCAGUUAAGAAUUGGCCUAGACCUACUACAACUAUGUAUAUUUAGAGUUUCUUGGGUUUGGCAGGCUAGUACCGUCAUUUUGUAAAGGAAUUUUCAUCUAUUGCAGCUCCAUUGAUUAAGUUGAGUCAGAAAGGUUUUCUUUUUAGAUGGUCUGAUGAGUGUGAGGAGACUCAUUAGAAGCUCAAGCCUGCUUAGACUUCGGGUCGUGACAUCAAUUUUCUUCAUGACUCAUUGUGCCUGAAAUACUAGCAAUACACACCAUAAAUUAUCUCAUAUUAUAAUUAAAGGAUACAAAAAUUAAAGCAAAGAGACUAGAAUAAAUGAUAAAAUCACCGCUUAUCAACACCUCUACUUAAAGUCUUUGCUUGUCCUCAAGCAAAUCAAAACAAAACACUCAAUGAGGCUCUACCAUUUAAAUCUCAAUUAGUAUUGCUAUCAUUCCAAAAUCAUAUUCUCCAAUUAAUCACAAUACUUAUGGCUUUGGUUGGUACUAAUAAUUAGGCUACAAGUAUGUGAACUUUAACCAAAUAACUCCCUCAUUUAAAAACACAAUCUCAAUAAUGCAAUGGAGUUUCAAAAUAUUCAAGUGACAAAAACCAAGCAUCAAGAAGUGACUCAAAAGUACUAGUCUACUAAAUAUGCAUAUUUGUCUCAAUUGGGGAUUAUUAACGUUACCAAUCAAUCAUAAUUCAUAUGCCCUCACAAUAAAGAAAGUUCCAAAUUCACCAUAUUCACAACAACAACACAAGGAAUAUUUGCACAAAGUCUCACUCUCAACGAAAAAGUUCUAGUGCUAACAAAUAUAAUACCAUUUGGUUGGAUCACAUAAGGAUUAUUUAAACUUGUAAUGUAGGCUUAGGGAAGGAUAGGAUAAGCAUUUGGGAUGCAAGUUACAACAUCCUAUACCAACAUUUUUCUUUCUUUUUUGUAAUUCACUUUUUUUAAACCACAUAAUCCUUAUUGACCUUUAGUUUCAAACAUUGAAGCACCCUGAAUUUCGUAAUUACCUCUAAUUGUGCUUCCUCAUCACUGAUGUGUAGAACUCUGAGCCCCAUCAUCACCAGCAUCAUGAUCAUCAUCAUCAUCCAAUACGAAAGAAUACUCCUCACUGUCAUCCUCGUCCUCAAUCGGUACCUUCUUAUUCGGUUGCCCCCAUUUAAAGAUUGCAUUGAUGCCUCUCUAUAUUUUGACCAUGAAAUUGCUCUUGUUCUUGUGUUUCUUUUUCUCUGCUUUGAAAUCUGCCUGAAGAGAGACAUGUGCCUUGGACAUAUUCCCAUAUGUUGUCUCAAGCCUGUUAACAACAACUUCUAAUUUCUCAUGUAACUCUGCCUAUUUUUUCUAGCUCUUCAAAGAACUACCCUCUCCUUCUACUCUCAACGGAUGCAAGUAUCUAAUGAUCAGUUCCAUGCACAUCCACAUUUGCCCGCUGGCACAACUCAGCGAUGACAAUCAACGGACAUUAAUCUAAAGUAUCAUACUGCUCCAACAUAGCCUUCUAUUCAAUUUCGUGCCAUCAGCCACAACUUCAUUCAUGCUAGAAUCCAUUUUCACAGCUCAAAGUACUUCAAAAAAAUCAAAACCAAGUUAGACGUGCAUUAGAAUCAUGUUAAGUAAUUUAGAACACAGCAAUUUAGCCAAAGAAUAAGCCAAAGGGGCCCAACAAGCCUUAGUUUCAAAGCUACUGGUUUACCGAAAAUUACACAGCCAUCGCACCUGUGAAAAAACUAGCGCAGGUGCAGCAUCGCUUCAGCGAAAAACGAAUCCCUUCUGCGACAUUUCACUAUUUAAACUUCACAUAUGAGGAAGAUUCAUCGCAGGUGCGAGGCCGCAUCUGCGGCAAUUCUUUAAUCAGAAUUUCAAAAAGCAAGAAGCUGACAAUUGUUUUAAUUCAAAUCAUGAUUUUUGCACAAAAUUUAUACUCAAGACUUCUAAAGUAUUAUAAUACAUGAAUUCAAGACUUGAUUCCACAUUAUUUCAAGACAAACGACAAAUAUAUUUCUCUAAGCCAAAUCGUCGAACACUUAACGAGCACAGAGAAUGCUUUGAUUCUUUUAAACUAAUCAGGCACUCAGACUUCUCCUAUUAUUUUUGUUCAACAAAACACCACACACAAUUACACUCAACCUAUUUUCUCACCCUAAAACUAAAAUCAAUAGAGAGGAAAAGAGGGGCUUAGGGAAAUAGCUAUUGUGAAGAUAGAGAAGAAGAAGAGAGAAGAGCUGAGAGGAAGAACGAAAUAGAACAAGAAGAGAAUGGGGAAUUACCUGGUUCCCCUGGAUGGUGAUGUGCCAGUGGUUGUGCAAUGGUGCAAUAGGAGAGGCGUUUGGGGUUGGGAGAAAAAGGGAUUUAGUUUUAUCUAAUAAAGGAUUCAUUAAAUUGACCUGACAAAGCACACCUGCAAAAUAUUUACCGCUUUUGUGACAACAAUUCCGCUUCUGUGAAAAAAAC
rnacentral:lncRNA from 1 species